UCGUGGGCGAACCGAAACUGCGGGGGUUAGCCCGAAAAACGCUCAUGAUCCUCUGCGCUUCGAACAUUAUCCAGAGUCACAGCUAAAGUCAAUUCUUGUCUCACUUUUUGGGAGAGAUUAUCCGGCUUUUAGGUGAGUUAUUCUAUAUGAUGGCGUAACUAUUGGAAUGGAACGAAUAUGCGAUGGUGUAUGUGUGGAGCUGAAGAAAGUUCUGGAAUGAAAUCAGGAUAAAAAAGUACUGUUGGGAAAGUGGAUUGAGAAAUGUUUAAUGAUGAGAAUGUUUUUUUCCCCUUGGAAGUACAACUGAAUUUAUGAAAUUUUGACCUGAAAUAAAUAUAGGUGUAAUUCGGAAAAAAGAAGUCAUCUGAUUACAAGCUGCACAUUGGUAAGAGACGAAAUGGCUUCCUUAAGAAUCAACAGGAAAAGUAGCAGUAUUUGUACGAAAUCAUUUAUUGGAUUAUUAUGUUAUUAGAACAAAGUAAAUACAAGUUAUUUUAUUGAACUGGCCUCUUUUUUUCCCUUUCGACUUGAUUUGCUUUUGCAUUGAAAUGGAAUUCCAUAUUUGAAGCAUGAAAAUCCAAUGUAGGGUAUUACUUUGAAAUUUUGCCUCUUCUGCUGACAUUGAACAUCUCCGGUUGUUUUAAAUACCUCCUUUAAAUUUACAGUUCAUUUGG